CACCACUCAAGCCUAGCUUGGUAUUGGGCGCCGCGGCGAUCUCCAUCGCUGCGCGCCUUAAAGUCUCCGGCUGAGCAGUCUGUCUCCGAGCGUUGUGACACAUGUCGCUAGGGAGUGCAGGUCUGCCGCGGCCGUUAAACACCCCAUCACA
rnacentral:misc_RNA from 1 species